CCUACGGGGGGCAGCAGUGGGGAAUAUUGCACAAUGGGGGAAACCCUGAUGCAGCGACGCCGCGUGAGUGAAGAAGUAUUUCGGUACGUAAAGCUCUAUCAGCAGGGAAGAAAAUGACGGUACCUGACUAAGAAGCACCGGCUAACUACGUGCCAGCAGCCGCGGUAAUACGUAGGGGGCAAGCGUUAUCCGGAUUUACUGGGUGUAAAGGGAGCGUAGACGGCAGCGCAAGUCUGGAGUGAAAUCCCAUGGCUUAACCAUGGAACUGCUUUGGAAACUGUGCAGCUAGAGUGCAGGAGAGGUAAGCGGAAUUCCUAGUGUAGCGGUGAAAUGCGUAGAUAUUAGGAGGAACACCAGUGGCGAAGGCGGCUUACUGGACUGUAACUGACGUUGAGGCUCGAAAGCGUGGGGAGCAAACAGGAUUAGAUACCCGGGUAGUC
rnacentral:rRNA from 1 species